AAGAGUGAACUAGCUAACUGAAAUCAAUCUACAUAUAAAUAUUGAUUGAUAACGUAAGGGAAAAUUAUGAUAUUACCUUACUAUUAGUGUCGUCCAAAUCUGGUGCCAGAAGACUCGGUAAGGCCAGAGACGCAAACGUUAAUCGUCUUAAACAGGCGUAAAGGGUUUGUAGGCUGCUUUGAAUUUUAUUUAAUAGACUUUACCCCAAGGUAAAAUAGCACAUUAGAUACUUAAUCAAAGCUAGAAUCAAAUAGAGGUUAUAUUAUAUAAUGCUUAAAGUAGGUCUAAUAUCCUAACAGAUUAAGUGGAAUAUUAAAAGCGAAGGCUUAUUUACCAUAAAUGAUUGACGCUGAGAAACGAAGGUGAGGAUAGGAAAUAGGAUUAGAUACCCAAAAUACCCCUCUCUGUCAACGAUGAAUGGUGGUUGCUAAUUAUAAAAUUAGUAGCUAUGUUAACACGAUAACCAUUCCGCCUUGUGAGUACGACUGCAAAGUUGAAAACAAAAAAAUUAGUCGGUUUCGGAGCAAACGAAGUG
rnacentral:rRNA from 1 species